GAGGAAAACAGUGUCAUUCGAGGCGUGUGAGCGCGUCAGUCCGAGCGCAGGUUUGAGUCCUGGAGUGUGUGAGAGGAUCAGUCAGGAAUAACGCGCCUCUGUUUCUCAGGCUUUAUUCUGGACCCAGACACUAUAACACACACAACACACACUCCUGCAGCCGAGACCACAAGAGGGAGCGGUCCACCCUGCUGCUGUGUUUGCUCGGGUCUGAGUCCAUGCAAACUGCCAUCUGAUCCACGUUUAUCAAUGCGGGAGCUGAUCAUGGCGGAUGGCCCCCGGUGUAAGAGGCGAAAACAAGCCAACCCGCGGAGGAAAAACGCAGCAGUUUUUUCUGGCCUGCUUGCUGGAGUUGAACUGAAGCGUGUCAGACGCGGAGCUGAGAGACGGAGGUUUUGGAGGAGAAUGGAGGGCCGUCGGCUCACCUGUCAGAGCGAGGCGUGUUUGAUGGCUUUACUGGAGGAUGAUGGGAACGGGUUUAACACGCUACGCGCUCCAGACUGAUGGAGACCGGACCGCUUCGCCUGCGGGGUCGUCGUAGUUAACUAAAACUAAAAUCAGAAGACCUAAACCAAAUGGCCUCGACCUUAGUCCAAACCAUAAAAAAAACUAAAUAACCAAAACUGAAACACAAAUUAAUGCAUUUAUUUGAAUGCAUUUUAGGUUUAAAAAUAAUUACAAAAAUGCCCAAAAAAAUUAAAAAGGUUUAAAUUAAAAUUAAAUUAUAAUGAAAACGCGCAGUGCAUGACAUAGAAUGCAGAAAAUCUUAAAGUCAAUUAAUUUUAUAACUAAAACUAAAACUAUAAAAAUAUAUUUCUUAAAAAACUGCUGUUACACGUACUAAAUAAUGCUAUUUAUAGACAUAAAAUGGCAAUCAGAGUCCAAAUGAACUGAUUCAAUAAAACGCUGUGUGCUUCACGUAGCUUUUCUGCUUAUUUGCUGUAUUUAUAAUCGCAUAUAAAAAAACAUGGUUAAUUCGAUUUUAUCAAUAUUGGGCGCCAGAAAACAUUUGAUCUAAAGAUGUCAAAUCUAGUAUUCACAUUAUAUAUAUAUAUAUAUAUAUAUAUAUAAACUGACUGCUGAAUAACGACGAGUCAGUAAUGUACUGUAGUUACUCCCGCAUUAGCUCAUAUUAUGCUUUGUGAUUUUCUUUGGUAUUAAUUAUAGAUGCGAUUUGAAGAAGUCCAAGCGAACGCUCCGAGAUCAGACUCGAUCGGAUCCCCUCGGGAACGCCACCGCUGUUUAACCGUGUGACAUGUUGUCAUAUUGGAGAGCGGCGAAAGAAAGAAAGAAAUCA